rnacentral:rRNA from 1 species
UACGGAGGGGGCUAGCGUUGUUCGGAAUUACUGGGCGUAAAGCGCACGUAGGCGGCUUUGUAAGUUAGAGGUGAAAGCCCAGGGCUUAACCCUGGAAUUGCCUUUAAGACUGCAUCGCUAGAAUUGUGGAGAGGUAAGUGGAAUUCCGAGUGUAGAGGUGAAAUUCGUAGAUAUUCGGAAGAACACCAGUGGCGAAGGCGACUUACUGGACACAUAUUGACGCUGAGGUGCGAAAGCGUGGGGAGCAAACAGGG